GAUGAAGAACGUAGCGAAAUGCGAUACGUAAUGUGAAUUGCAGAAUUCAGUGAAUCAUCGAAUCUUUGAACGCAUAUUGCACUCUCUGGUAUUCCGGAGAGCAUGCUUGUUUGAGUAUCAGUAAACACCUCAACUUCCAUAUCUUUUUUGAAAUGGGAGUUGGACUUGAGUGAUCCCAACGCUUUUCCUCACCGAAAAGUGGCGGGUUACUUGAAAUGCAGGUGCAGCUGGACUUUUCUCUGAGCUAUAAGCAUAUCUAUUUAGUCUGCCUAAAAAACAGAUUAUUACCUUUGCUGCAGCUAACAUAAAGGAGAUUAGUUCUUGUGCUGACUGAUGCAGGAUUCACAAAAACGGCUUCGGCCGACUUUGUAAACUCGAUCUCAAAUCAAGUAAGACUACCCGCUGAACUUAAGCAUAUCAAUAAGCGGAGGA
rnacentral:misc_RNA from 1 species